AGGUUCUAAUGAAGUUAAUUUAGAUGAGCUCACUGAAGAUAUAAUGUCACUUGAUAUUAGUGGAGAAUCAAAUGCUUCAAACUCAAUGAACAAUUCUAAGGUAACCACUCCAAAUGCUUCGAGUAUUGUUGCUAAAAAACAAUGAACAAUCAAAGGUUUGAAUUGUUGGAAUUAAAGAUUUGAGAAGAGAACCAUGGGAACUUUGAACUUGUUUUUAAUGGAU
rnacentral:lncRNA from 1 species